rnacentral:rRNA from 1 species
UACGUAGGGAGCAAGCGUUGUCCGGAAUCAUUGGGCGUAAAGCGCGCGUAGGUGGCCUGCUACGUCCGUUGUGAAAGUCAAAGGCUCAACCUUUGAAAGCCGAUGGAUACUGUGAGACUAGAGUACGGAAGAGGCGAGUGGAAUUCCUGGUGUAGCGGUGGAAUGCGCAGAUAUCAGGAGGAACACCAAUAGCGAAGGCAGCUCGCUGGGACGUUACUGACACUGAGGCGCGAAAGCGUGGGGAGCGAACAGG